rnacentral:lncRNA from 1 species
GAUCCUAGACUUCGCUACUUAUUACUUUAAUUUGAUAUAAAGUAGUUAUUAAAAUGAAGGAAUGAACCAUAUAACUCAACAAUUUCAUAAUUCUUGAUUGGCAUGCUGGAAUUGUAUAUAGAAGAAAGAAUAACAUAACAAGCUUCAAUUUUAUUGAUGUUUUCCAUUCUUAUAUUUAUAUGACCUUUCACGUGGUAGAAGCUCCUCAAAUAUGAAUUAAAACCCAAUACCAAAAAAGGGUUGGUUUGGAACUUGGAAGAAGACAACAACUUAAAGCUAUGAAAACAAAAAAAAAAAAAAGAAAAGAAAAGAAAAGGGUGACAAGCUAAGUCCCUUAAAUUAACAAGUUUACAAGAUUAUGGAAAUUAACAUGAAAAGGUCAAUAAUAUAUAAUUCCUUAGGAAGAAAAAAAAAAUUCAAAAACCUUCUGAUCCCUCUUCUUGAUCGAUCCAAUCCAUCCAAGAAAGUGGGGUGUUCUUGAAUUUGUUGUCGACAAGAAUUGGUUGUUGUUGUUGUUGUUGUUGUUUGUUGUUGUUGUUAUGAUGAAGAAGGAGAGUAGUAGUAGAAGGGGUAGCCUUGACCAAGCUCCUAGGUUGUUGUUGUUGGUUGUGGUGAUCCUCAGCGUUGGCGGUGAUGUCGCCUCCGGUCGGGGUUUGGAGGGGAAGAACGGUGGGCUUGGCGACAGCCGGAGAUGAAGGCUUUGGGUAGAAGAGAUCGGUUGGGAAGAAGUUAUAUUGUUGAAGGCCAGCCAUAGAAACAGAGAAAAUAAAGUGUUGUUUAAUUUUGAGAGUAUCUAACUUUC